ensembl:lncRNA
AUAGAGAAAAGGGGCAACUUCUCAAGGUCAAAGUAGCUCUGCAACCCUCUGCUACUGCCUACAUUUCUAUGGGCAGAUCGACUUACCUCAUACUUAUGCCUCUUGCUAGACUGCUGAUGGUCAUGAUGUGAAGAAUUCUUGCAUCUGCUUGGUGACUUGCUCUUUGAGUUGGCUGUACUUCCAGAAAGAGGGCAGUGUUCUUCAGAAACUUAAGUCUCCAAAACUCAUUGUAGUUCCCAAGGGCUCCUAAGAGAAGAUUAGAACUGUUACCUAGUACUCAGUGGGAACAAAUCCUGGAAUGGAAUAAUGACCUUAGAAGCUGGCUUUAUGCAAUAAGUACACCUGACUAUGCCACGGGUGCUGUGGAAAUCUCUGCACAUUUAGCUGUUCAGAUAAGAAGUAGUCAAGGAACAAGAGUAUGAGACUUUCAUGGAUAAUUCACAAACUGGACGCUCAUGCCAGGGUGCAUUAGAUGCUCCUGAGGAUGGAGUCACCUUGCAGAAGAGGUUAUAACAGCAGUUGUUGGGACAAGUUUGAUGAUGUGAGGUCAUACUCUGAAGAUGCACUGGCACAAGAAGUAAGGGCAAAGGAACUCUCCACUUUGGGCACACUGUCCUCUUCGUGUUUUGUUUUCAUUUCUCAUUCUGAAAACAUGAACACCAUUUGACUGCAAAUAAUGCCUUUUAUUCACACAUACAUAUGUUCUGAGAAGAUUGGGGUUUAUUUAUUUAUUUAUUUCUGCAGCUUAAGAAAGAGGAACUUAGAUGUGAUCCCAAACUAGUAAAAGGAGUGAAAUGUCAUAUCUUUGUACCAUGAGAAUAAUCAUCCCAAGAAAAUAUAACUUUCCUAG